rnacentral:rRNA from 1 species
GAGCCUACGGGAGGCAGCAGUGGGGGAUAUUGGACAAUGGGGGAAACCCUGAUCCAGCGACGCCGCGUGAGUGAAGAAGUAUUUCGGUAUGUAAAGCUCUGUCAGCAGGGAAGAAAGAAAUGACGGUACCUGACCAAGAAGCCCCGGCUAACUACGUGCCAGCAGCCGCGGUAAUACGUAGGGGGCAAGCGUUAUCCGGAUUUACUGGGUGUAAAGGGAGCGUAGACGGCGGUGCAAGCCAGAUGUGAAAGCCCGGGGCUCAACCCCGGGACUGCAUUUGGAACUGUAUGGCUGGAGUGUCGGAG